rnacentral:rRNA from 1 species
AACGGCCAUACCAUGCUGAAUAUACCGGUUCUCGUUAGAUCACCGAAGUCAAGCAUCAUUGGGCGCGGUUAGUACUUGGAUGGGGGACCACCUGGGGAGACCGCGUGCAGU